GAUGAACGCUAGCUACAGGCUUAACACAUGCAAGUCGAGGGGCAGCAUGAUUGAAGCUUGCUUCAAUCGAUGGCGACCGGCGCACGGGUGAGUAACACGUAUCCAACCUGCCGAUAACUCGGGGAUAGCCUUUCGAAAGAAAGAUUAAUACCCGAUAGUAUAGUAUUUCCGCAUGGUUUCACUAUUAAAGAACUUCGGUUAUCGAUGGGGAUGCGUCCCAUUAGAUAGUUGGCGGGGUAACGGCCCACCAAGUCAACGAUGGAUAGGGGUUCUGAGAGGAAGGUCCCCCACAUUGGAACUGAGACACGGUCCAAACUCCUACGGGAGGCAGCAGUGAGGAAUAUUGGUCAAUGGACGAGAGUCUGAACCAGCCAAGUAGCGUGAAGGAUGACUGCCCUAUGGGUUGUAAACUUCUUUUAUACGGGAAUAAAGUGGAGUAUGCAUACUCCUUUGUAUGUACCGUAUGAAUAAGGAUCGGCUAACUCCGUG
rnacentral:rRNA from 1 species